rnacentral:lncRNA from 10 species
AGUCUGGGAUGUUACAAUUGACCUUUAGAGUUGUCCCAAGUUGGGCUAAGAUGGUCAAGCUCUUAUACCUUCACGUUAAGGUUUUGCUUGUUUGUUUGUUUUGUUUUGUUUCUGUGUGUGUGUGUGUGUGUGGUGGGGUGGGACGGGGGACAGCAUUUGGCUCUGUUGUCCAGGCCGGACACAAUCUUGGCUCACUGCAACCUCCACCUCCUGGGGUCAAACCAUCCUCCCACUUCAGCCUCCCAUGUCCCUGGGACUGCAGGCUCAUGCC